GGAUAAGGAACACCUCCCUUCCCCUAUAUAGAGAGGUUUAUUCCUUUCCCACCUCUAAACAAGAUUAUAUAAAUAAAUAAUUUCCUUUUAGUUCUUUUGCAGAUCUGUGCUUAGUGAAAAAGUGUUUCUCUAGAUCUGCUAUAUUUUAGGUGGUGUUGAAUUCCACUGAGAAACGAACAAGACAUGAGGUUGAAAUCCUCAUGCAUUAAUGCAUGCAUGGGGCCACCUGAGGAAUUGUUACUUUCUGCUUUUAUCUUAUUUCUUUGGGGUUUGUCCUUGUAGGUUUUGUUGGGAGACACAAGUCCCAACCUUUCUUUACCUUAGCUCGGUGAAGGGGGUAAAUAGCAAUGUUGGUUGGUGAUGGUUUAUUGAGUAU
rnacentral:lncRNA from 1 species